CCUAUGAUGGUGUCACCAAUCUGUGACUGCUAGCAGCAAAUAUCUCCAAUAGCCGGUGAUGGGACCCUGGAUGGGGAGGGCUCUGAGUUACUACAGAGAAUUCCUUCCCAGGUGUAUGGCUGGUGGGUCUCGCCUACAUGCACAGGGUCUAACUGAUCGCCAUAUUCAGAGUCGGGAAGAAAUUUCCCCCUCGGUGAGAUUGGCAGACACUCCGGGGGAAGAAAGUGUUUCGCCUUCCGCUGCAGCAUGGGGCAAAGGUCACUUGCAGGUUUAAACUAGCGUAAAUGGUAGAUUCUCUGUAACUUGAAGUCUUUAAGUCAUGAUUUGAGGACUUCAGUAACUCAGCCAGAG